AACGAACGCUGGCGGCAUGCCUAACACAUGCAAGUCGAACGAGACCGUCGGGUCUAGUGGCGCACGGGUGCGUAACGCCUGGGAACCUGCCCGUAGGUUCGGAAUAACUCAGAGAAAUUUGAGCUAAUACCGGAUGAUGUCUUCGGACCAAAGAUUUAUCGCCUGUAGAUGGGCCCGCGUUGGAUUAGCUAGGUGGUGGGGUAAAGGCGUACCAAGGCGACGAUCCAUAGCUGGUGUGAGAGGAUGAUCAGCGACACUGGGACGGGGACACGGCCCAGACUGGUGCGAGCGGCAGCAGUGGGGAAUAUUGGGCAGUGGGCGUAAGCCUGAACCAGCGAUGCCGGGUGAGUGAUGAAGGCGUUAGGGUUGUAAAGCGCUUUUACCCGAGAGGAAGUGACGGUAACGGGAGAAUAAGCACCGGCUAACUACGUG
rnacentral:rRNA from 1 species